GCCACCUUCAAUACAUGAUAAAGUUGUCUUGUUUAUAAGUUUUUUUGUUUUUAUUUUCUAAGUGCAUUAUCUCAUUUGAUGUUUAUGGCAACUUAAAGGCAAAAUAGUUAUUACUUCCAUUACACAAAGACACUAAACUUAAGAGGGCCUGCCUAUAUGUUCAGAAUCUUGGUGUACGACCCAGUUAUUUAAUCAUCAAGCCGUUAUUGUAUAGCAGGCUCAGCAAAGUUUUUCUUUGGGCUGUAUAGUAAAUAUUUAGGCUUUGUGGACCAUAAGAUCUCUUUCUCAGCUACUCAACUCUGCCAUUGGAGCUCAAAAGCAGUCAUAGAAAAUAUGGGCUGUGUUCCUAUAAAGAUUUAUGUAUGGACACUGAAAUUUGAAUUUCAUAUAAUUUUCACGUCAUAAAAUGUUCUUCUAUUGAUUUAAACAUGGUCUUUGUUACGUUUUGAAGGGAAGGUGAGGGUUAAAGAAAGACAGAGCAGUCUUGCUCUGCUGCUUAGGCCGGAGUACAGAGGCAUGAUCUCGGCUCACUGCAGCCUGGACGUCCAGGGCUCAAGUGAUCCUCCCACCUCAGCCUCCCAAGAUCUUAGUUUACCAACCCAUGUUGUAAAGUACCGCAGCUGGACAGAGUGGAAGCUCUGAAGACCUUUGCUCUAAACAAGUAAUUGAGAAGGGAAGAUGAGAGGGCAAUAGUACAGCACAAGUCAAGCAUGGGGGCUUUGGCAGGACUUAUUGAGCAAAGUAAGUAAUUAAGCCCAUCCAGAGAAGGCAGUUUUUGAGCUGGGUCUUAGGAAAUAUGUAAGAUUUCUAUAGGUGGAGAAGGAGAUGUCAGGCAUUCCUGAAUGAGAAAAUACAUUGAGCAAAAAGGCACAGACGUGGACACCUGUAGGUGGGGGCUAGGAUUGGGGCUGGUAACAACUGAAGGGAUGAAAUGGAAGGUGAGGCUGGAAAGGCAGGUUAGCCAAAUUUGAAAUUUAGAUAAUUGAUAUAUGUUGCAUGGAACCUGAAUGAUAGCAUGUCUGGGUGUAUUGCAAAAGAAGACAGUACCUGUUGGCCAAGGAAGGAUGCAGCCCAGUCUAUUCCCUGCUGUAAAGUUGAAAACAAAAGGAAGGUUAGGACAGACAGGGAAGCCCUAGACUCUGAGGGUUGUGUGAGUUCAGGAUAACCGCAUGUGGUUUAGAGAAGACAGGGAGAGAGCUGAUAGCUAGGAAAAAUCCCAGAAUUGGGAAAGUACUGCCUACCCCAAAGUAAACUGUUUGAGUGUAGAGACCCUGGUUAGGUUUUCCUUGAUGUAAACUCAGUGCCUACACAGUGUUAGGCACUUAGUAGGUGCUCAUAUAUUUGUCUAAUAAAAGAAUAAAUGGGCCAGGCACAGUGGCUUAUGCCUGUAAUUCCAGCACUUUGGGAGGCCGAGGCGGGCAGAUCACAAGGUUAAGAGAUCGAGACCAUCCUGGCCAACAUGGUGAAACCUCAUCUCUACUAAAAAUACAAAAGUAGCCGGGCAUGGUGGCACAUGCCUGUAAUCCCAGCUACUUGGGAGGCUGAGGCAGGAGAAUCGCUUGAACCCGGGAGGCGGAGGUUGCAGUGAGCCGAGAUUGCACCACUGCACUCCAGCCUGGGCAACAAGAGCAAAACUCCGUCUCAAAAGAAAAAAAAAAAAGAAUAAAUGAUCUGCAGUUUAUGAGAAAUGUCAGGAUGAAAGAGAGAGAAAACACUGAGAGGGACAAUACUAGAGCUGUAUUAAAUCUGAAUUGGUUAUUGCAGACCCAUCAAAAAGGAAAUAUGUUCAGCUUGGCAUGAUACAGUCGUACCUAUCCUGACUCUUAGUGGCUAUUGCUUCUCUAAGAGCUUACUAACCAUCUGUUUAAUAACUCGUUUUCAGAAUUUUUCCAGAGUCAAUGUGAAGUUCACUGGACUGAGUUCCCAGAAUUGACCAUUUCUCUUUUUUUUCCAUCUGUUUUUCUCUAUUCCUCCAUCAUGCUUUGGCUCUCCACUUUUUCUAAGACCUCUAUAACUGUUCAUGUAAGUACAUUUGUUCAUUUCCCCUAUUCUACAACCAUCCCCUUUUUGUGCAUUUUGCUUUAAAUGUAACUUUAAAAUUAGUUUCUUCUCCCAA